GGUUUUAUGGUGUAACGGUUAGCACUCCAGACUCUGAAUCUGGCGAUCUGGGUUCAAAUCCCGGUAAAAUCU
rfam:Perkinsus marinus ATCC 50983 gcontig_1104296763152, whole genome shotgun sequence.